rnacentral:rRNA from 1 species
GAUGAACGCUGGCGGCGUGCCUAAUACAUGCAAGUCGAGCGAACAGACGAGGCUCUUGCUCCUCUGACGUUAGCGGCGGACGGGAGAGUAACACGUGGAUCACCUACCUAUAAGACGGGGAUAACUUCGGGAAACCGGAGCUAAUACCGGAUGAUAUAUUGAACCACAUGGUUCAAUAGUGAAAGACGGUUUUGCUGUCUCUUAUAGAUGGAUCCGCGCCGCAUUAGCUAGUUGGUAAGGUAACGGCUUACCAAGGCAACGAGGCGUAGCCGACCUGAGAGAGUGGUCGCCCACACGGGAAGGGAGACACGGACCAGAGGCCUACGGGAGGCAGCAGUCGGGAAUCUGACGCAGUGGGCGAGAGCCUUACGGAGCAACGCCGCGCGAGUGAUGAAAGUCUUGGGAUCGUAAUACUCUGUUAUUAGGGAAGAACAAAUGUGUAAGUAACCAUGCACUGAGUGACGGUAACUAAUCAGAAAGCCACGGCUAACUACGUG